CAGGACUAGUUAAGGUGCUUCUACAUUAUAUGGAAGCUCUAUUACGAUUCAACAAAACUUAAUUAACAUAAUGUACGGAAAACUUCUCUCUGCUUCCUCCGUUAGAUGUGAGUCUCCAAAAUACCUGAAGUGGACUAAAACAACCUGCUAUCAUAAAUUACUGUUAGGCAGAUGACGCGUUUAGUACCACAUAACAUCCAGUCCAUCUUAAUUGCAGAAAUACAGGUUAAUGCUAACGAGUCGACUGGACACUUAGGAAGGCAAAUAGGUAAAGUAAUAACCAGUGUUAAAAGUAAGCAUGCAACAACAGAGUCCAGGUUUCUGAUCAAAAUUCACAGGCAAGAGUAAAUGGAGAUAAUCCAGCUGCAAUGAUGAAUGUUUUUUAUCUACACUCCCAGUAAAGGCACAAGUUAUGUUGGGACAAUAAGCACGUACUUUUACAGAAAGAACACAGUUUACCAUAACCAUCCAUUAAAUCUACACUCCCAGUAUGAUGAAUGGGUGCAAAAAAGUGUGGAUUUUUUCUUGCAGUUCCUAAUUAUGUUUUAUUUUUCUCGCAGUUCCUCUAUCUACCCAAUGGCAUACCUUAGUGCCAAAUGGGCAAAAUUAAUAAUCAUAAUCAAGCAUGAAAGGAGCUACUCAAGGGCACACUUUACUGCCUAUUGGGGAAUACUAAUACUCCCUCUAUUCCUAAAUGUAGUGCGCAUAGGAAAUUUCAAAAGUCACCCCCCCCCCCUACUUUGACUACAUUUAUAGAGGAAAAUAUCUACAUCUAUAAUAUUAAAUAAAUAUCAUGAGAUACUCCCUCUAUAAAGAAAUAUAAGAGCGUUUAGUUCACUGCUUUAGUGAUCUAAACGCUCUUAUACUUCUUUAUAGAGGAGUACAUCAAUAAGCAUAUUCAAAGAAAUUUUGGUAUUAUUGUUGUUGAUAAUUUUCUCACUAAACCUGGUAAAACUAAACAAUGUUUGACUUCUAAGAAAUUUUAUGCGCACUACAUUUAGGACUAGAGGGAGUAAUCAUCAGCAAGUAUGGAGCUAUUUUUUGGUAAAUCUAGUAAUAUUCUUUCAAUCAUCUAGUCAAUUAUUAGAAAUAAAAACGUUCUUGAGCCAGUACAAGGAUGAUAAUUCCAUGCCAUCUCCAUACUACCGAGGCACAACAUUAUAUUAUUGAUCUUAGUCAUAGGUGUUGUUCAUUGUAUAGUCCUGAUUCGUUGACUUAACCGGCCACAAUGAAGAACUUUUCUUAAGAGUGACUAUUCGGAGGUUAAAGUCACUUAUGCAAUGUGAAAUCAAAAUCAAUUCUCAGAGUGUGUAUGUUGGGGGUUGGCAUAUAGCUGUAACGACCACUCCGGUUACAUGUGAAUGGGGCCCAGAUGUAAGUUUGUUGGAAGAGAGAACUACAUGCACUUCUUGGAUGCCGAUGAAAAGAGUCAAAGAGCUAAUCGUCAAGCUCAUGAACCUAGAAGUGCUGGAGAGUUUCAGCUAGCUGUGGUUGCAAUUUUUAUUCUUAUUGAGUGUCUACCAAAAAUCUGCACCGAUGCCUAAUUUUCCUUUAAAUGCAAGGGCUACAAUCUAUAUAGACCAUGCACCUUCCUUCUUUUAAAUCGUAGGAGGGCACAUGCAUCCACCUAGCCAAAUCAAAACAGAUAGGAUAAACAACAUAUUACCUGACAGCUAGUGGUCACAACAUUUAAUCAAUGGUAAAUCUUGUCUCUCUGACAUGCUUUUCCUCUGAAAUUCAAGUGAAGGGUGGCCAUGGAGGACACCAACAAGAAGCUGCUCAUUCAGCUUAAGCAUCCUGUGCC
rnacentral:lncRNA from 1 species